rnacentral:rRNA from 1 species
CCUACGGGAGGCAGCAGUGAGGAAUAUUGGACAAUGGGCGGGAGCCUGAUCCAGCCAUGCCGCGUGCAGGAAGACUGCUCUAUGGGUUGUAAACUGCUUUUGUACGGGAAGAAACACCCCCUCGUGAGGGGGCUUGACGGUACCGUAAGAAUAAGGAUCGGCUAACUCCGUGCCAGCAGCCGCGGUAAUACGGAGGAUCCAAGCGUUAUCCGGAAUCAUUGGGUUUAAAGGGUCCGUAGGUGGGCCGUUAAGUCAGAGGUGAAAUCCUGCAGCUCAACUGUAGAAUUGCCUUUGAUACUGGCGGUCUUGAAUCAUUGUGAAGUGGUUAGAAUAUGUGGUGUAGCGGUGAAAUGCAUAGAUAUCACAUAGAAUACCGAUUGCGAAGGCAGAUCACUAACAAUGCAUUGACACUGAUGGACGAAAGCGUGGGGAGCGAACAGGACUAGAUACCCUGGUAGUCCACGCCGUAAACGAUGGAUACUAGCUGUCCGGACUUCGGUCUGGGUGGCUAAGCGAAAGUGAUAAGUAUCCCACCUGGGGAGUACGUUCGCAAGAAUGAAACUCAAAGGAAUUGACGG